GUGACUGCGUACCUUUUGUAUAAUGGGUCAGCGACUUAUAUUCUGUAGCAAGGUUAACCGAAUAGGGGAGCCGGAGGGAAACCGAGUCUUAACCGGGCGUUAAGUUGCAGGGUAUAGACCCGAAACCCGGUGAUCUAGCCAUGGGCAGGUUGAAGGUUGGGUAACACUAACUGGAGGACCGAACCGACUAAUGUUGAAAAAUUAGCGGAUGACCUGUGGCUGGGGGUGAAAGGCCAAUCAAACCGGGAGAUAGCUGGUUCUCCCCGAAAGCUAUUUAGGUAGCGCCUCGUGAAUUCAUCUCCGGGGGUAGAGCACUGUUUCGGCUAGGGGGCCAUCCCGGCUUACCAACCCGAUGCAAACUGCGAAUACCGGAGAAUGUUAUCACGGGAGACACACGGCGGGUGCUAACGUCCGUCGUGAAGAGGGAAACAACCCAGACCGCCAGCUAAGGUCCCAAAGUCAUGGUUAAGUGGGAAACGAUGUGGGAAGGCCCAGACAGCCAGGAUGUUGGCUUAGAAGCAGCCAUCAUUUAAAGAAAGCGUAAUAGCUCACUGGUCGAGUCGGCCUGCGCGGAAGAUGUAACGGGGCUAAACCAUGCACCGAAGCUGCGGCAGCGANACAGCCAGGAUGUUGGCUUAGAAGCAGCCAUCAUUUAAAGAAAGCGUAAUAGCUCACUGGUCGAGUCGGCCUGCGCGGAAGAUGUAACGGGGCUAAACCAUGCACCGAAGCUGCGGCAGCGAACGUAUCACCCAAGACAACUUUACGGAGUUGACGAUUGACGGAGCGAAGCGACGUCAAAGCGUUCAUUAAAGUCGAGUUGGCUUAGGGAUACGUUCGUUGGGUAGGGGAGCGUUCUGUAAGCCUGCGAAGGUGGCCUGUGAGGGUUGCUGGAGGUAUCAGAAGUGCGAAUGCUGACAU
rnacentral:rRNA from 1 species